UGAGGAAUAUUGGUCAAUGGGCGAGAGCCUGAACCAGCCAAGUAGCGUGAGGGAAGACUGCCCUAUGGGUUGUAAACCUCUUUUGUUUGGGAAUAAAGUGCGGGACGUGUCCCGCAUUGCAUGUACCAUUUGAAUAAGGACCGGCUAAUUCCGUGCCAGCAGCCGCGGUAAUACGGAAGGUCCGGGCGUUAUCCGGAUUCAUUGGGUUUAAAGGGAGCGCAGGCCGCCCCUUAAGCGUGUUGUGAAAUGCCGCGGCUCAACCGUGGCACUGCAGCGCGAACUGGGGGGCUUGAGUGCGCGCAGCGCAGGCGGAACUCGUGGUGUAGCGGUGAAUGCUUA
rnacentral:rRNA from 1 species